UACGGAGGGUGCAAGCGUUGUUCGGAAUUACUGGGCGUAAAGGGCGCGUAGGCGGCCUGUUAAGUCGGACGUGAAAUCCCUCGGCUCAACCGGGGAACUGCGUCCGAUACUGGCGGGCUUGAGUUCGGGAGAGGGAUGUGGAAUUCCAGGUGUAGCGGUGAAAUGCGUAGAUAUCUGGAGGAACACCGGUGGCGAAGGCGGCAUCCUGGACCGACACUGACGCUGAGGCGCGAAAGCCAGGGGAGCAAACGGG
rnacentral:rRNA from 1 species